rnacentral:rRNA from 1 species
GAUGAACGCUGGCGGCGUGCCUAAUACAUGCAAGUCGAGCGAACAGACGAGGAGCUUGCUCCUCUGACGUUAGCGGAGGACGGGUGAGUAACACGUGGAUAACCUACCUAUAAGACUGGGAUAACUUCGGGAAACCGGAGCUAAUACCGGAUAAUAUAUUGAACCGCAUGGUUCAAUAGUGAAAGACGGUUUUGCUGUCACUUAUAGAUGGAUCCGCGCCGCAUUAGCUAGUUGGUAAGGUAACGGCUUACCAAGGCAACGAUGCGUAGCCGACCUGAGAGGGUGAUCGGCCACACUGGAACUGAGACACGGUCCAGACUCCUACGGGAGGCAGCAGUAGGGAAUCUUCCGCAAUGGGCGAAAGCCUGACGGAGCGACGCCGCGCGAGUGAUGAAGGUCUUCGGAUCGUAAAGCUCUGUUAUUGGGGAAGAACAGAUUUGUAAGUAACUAUGCACGUCUUGACGGUACCUAAUCAAGAAGCCACGGCUAACUACGUG